rnacentral:rRNA from 1 species
GAAACCAACCGGGAUUGCCUUAGUAACGGCGAGUGAAGCGGCAAAAGCUCAAAUUUGAAAUCUGGUACCUUCGGUGCCCGAGUUGUAAUUUGGAGAGGGCAACUUUGGGGCCGUUCCUUGUCUAUGUUCCUUGGAACAGGACGUCAUAGAGGGUGAGAAUCCCGUGUGGCGAGGAGUGCGGUUCUUUGUAAAGUGCCUUCGAAGAGUCGAGUUGUUUGGGAAUGCAGCUCUAAGUGGGUGGUAAAUUCCAUCUAAAGCUAAAUAUUGGCGAGAGACCGAUAGCGAACAAGUACAGUGAUGGAAAGAUGAAAAGAACUUUGAAAAGAGAGUGAAAAAGUACGUGAAAUUGUUGAAAGGGAAGGGCAUUUGAUCAGACAUGGUGUUUUGUGCCCUCUGCUCCUUGUGGGUAGGGGAAUCUCGCAUUUCACUGGGCCAGCAUCAGUUUUGGUGGCAGGAUAAAUCCAUAGGAAUGUAGCUUGCCUCGGUAAGUAUUAUAGCCUGUGGGAAUACUGCCAGCUGGGACUGAGGACUGCGACGUAAGUCAAGGAUGC